rnacentral:rRNA from 1 species
ACUCCUACGGGAGGCAGCAGUGGGGAAUAUUGCACAAUGGGCGCAAGCCUGAUGCAGCCAUGCCGCGUGUGUGAAGAAGGCCUUCGGGUUGUAAAGCACUUUCAGUUGUGAGGAAGGUGGUGUCGUUAAUAGCGGCAUCAUUUGACGUUACCUACAGAAGAAGCACCGGCUAACUCCGUGCCAGCAGCCGCGGUAAUACGGAGGGUGCGAGCGUUAAUCGGAAUUACUGGGCGUAAAGCGCAUGCAGGCGGCCUGUUAAGUCAGAUGUGAAAGCCCGGGGCUUAACCUCGGAAUUGCAUUUGAAACUGGCAGGCUAGAGUCUUGUAGAGGGGGGUAGAAUUUCAGGUGUAGCGGUGAAAUGCGUAGAGAUCUGAAGGAUACCAGUGGCGAAGGCGGCCCCCUGGACAAAGACUGACGCUCAGAUGCGAAAGCU